CCUACGGUGUGCUGCAGUGAGGAAUAUUGGUCAAUGGGCUAAGGCCUGAACCAGCCAAGUCGCGUGAGGGAAGACGGUCCUAUGGAUUGUAAACCUCGUUUGUCGGGGAGCAACGAGGCCACGUGUGGCCGAAGUGAGAGUACCCGUAGAAAAAGAAUAGGCUAACUCCGUGCCAGCAGCCGGGGGAAGAAGGAGGAUGCGAGCGUUAGCCGGAUGUAUUGGGUUUAAAGGGUGCGUAGGCGGCACAUUAAGGCAGAGGUAAAAUCGAGGGGCUCAACCCCUUUAAGCCGUUGAAACUGGUGAUCUUGAGUGGGCGAGAAGUAUGCGGAAUGCGUGGUGUAGCGGUGAAAUGCAUAGAUAUCACGCAGAACUCCGAUUGCGAAGGCAGCAUACCGGCGCCAGACUGACGCUGAGGCACGAAAGCGUGGGGAUCGAACAGGAUUAGAUACCCGAGUAGUC
rnacentral:rRNA from 1 species